UUUUGUGAUUCAUAUGGUUUUCUUUCUUCGUCUCUUCCACUUCGACGACUCCGCUGAUCUUUCAGUCACAAUAAUGAACUCUUCUCUCACCUUUUUGGCUCCCCUAUCCUUCAAUGUACUCCUAUUAGUUUUGCCAAUAAAUGUGAUUGUCAUUUAACCCAAAAACUCUAUGUAUCUCUCGGUUUCCUUCACCUUAAAUCAAUAAAUUGGAGAAGGUUGAGAAUUGGAUGGACCUUCGCAACACUCUCAGUUAAUCUCCUUUAUCAACCGUAGAAAGAAUCCUUAUGCUGUGAAGAGGCAGAUGACUAACUAUAUGCUUCAGGAUGAUGAAAAGGAAUCAGAAGUCACCUUCAGUUACAGCCUUCCUGUCGGCCCUUUCCGAGAACCGUCACAGCCCCGGUGGAGAGAAAACAUUUCCAGAAGUUCGGAAAGGAGAAAGACAAGCAGCGAAAUGAUGAUGCAUUAAGACACAAAGCAAGGAGCUACCGCAACCAACAUAGACCAAAGUCCGCCGUGAAGACAUUGUUCGUUGACGGGUGGAACUGGAGUGUUCUUGCCAGGCAGUCAUGGUACUGCUGUGGAGUCACGCAAUAAAUCAGAUGUGGUUUUAAAGAAGGUUACGUGUAAAAUCUUCAGAAAGUUGCAUCUGAAGAUGAUGAGAUGGUUCAGAUUUCCGGAGAAAUCAAUGUUUCCAAGGAAGCUCUCAUACAAAUUACAUCAAGAGUAGAGCCAAUGUUUUUGACAGGGAAAGUGCUGUUUCUGCAUUAGUGCCGGUCUUGCCUUAUGUUCCUGUAUCACCAGAUGCUGGUGAUUUAUUGGACUAUGAUAGAACAGAAAGCAGAAGACCUGAACGCGGGAAUCAUUAUCGUGGUUAUUAUGGCUCAAGUGGGUUGUCUGCUAAGCUUAUUCACCUUAUGGUGCUCUGGUUGGUGGUAGUAGUAGUACUCCAUAUGGAGUGUGUGGUGGUUAUUCAUCUAGGCUCAGUGGCAGUUCUGGCUGACAAAAUUACCUAGCUAUUUACCCAAAGUUCAUGAGAUUAUCUGAUCUGUCCUGGCGUCAGAUUCGGAUACACUGCUUUUAGUUACGUAAGCCUCAAGAACAACAUUAGGAAAGCAGUGAGGUACUGCAGCGAGUAUCCGAAGGGGCGAAGGGUAAACGAAGAUUCGCAAGGUUUGUAAAACAGGUUGUUUUCAUGUCCUAUAAAAGAGAUCUUGGUUUCAAAUGCGCAGUUAAAUUGUUCUGCGACUCUAUCAAACGAUCGAAUUUGAAAUACGAUAUGCUCCCUUUAGUGGCUGGAGCUGAUGGUGGUGGUGCUGCUUCUUUUGGUUCGUGAAAGAUUGCUAAUUGUGUUGCAAACGCUGCCUGAAAAUGGAACCAUGAACCAGACAUUAAUCUAGCCUUUAAAAUAUAUUUAGCUGUCUUUUUCAAGAUCACAAGAAAAGAAGUACGGAACUGUUUUUAUCUUUUAUCUGCUGAUUGCCGUAGGUACUUACCUCUUUGACUAAAAAUAAUUAAGGCUGAGAGUCAUGAUUCUUCUUCCGUUACGA